rnacentral:rRNA from 1 species
AUGACCCUGAAAUCCACUGGUACUAUCGUGAAAAUUGACCCAUGGACCUCGGCUCUUGGAACCAAAGGGAUCAUGGAGAAAGCAUGGAUCAAGGUUAGUAAUGUCCCCUUAGAAAAAAGAAAUGAAAGAAUCUUGGCAUUUGUUUCCUCUCUGGUUGGAGUUCCCUUGGAAAUUGAUGGUGCUACCCUUCAUUGUCCUGAAUCUAUGCGUGUAAAGAUUGGAUGCAGGAAUGUGGAUGAAAUCCCACCUGUAGCUGAGGCAGUGUUGGGUGAUCAUUUCUUUGACUUCUUUUAUGAGCUGGAUCAGGUGCUGGUCAAAGACUCGGACCGUGGGAAAAUACCAGUGACAAAUCUUUUUAACACUGGAAACCAUAUGUUUAAGAAGAUGAAAACGCAAAAUUCUAAUGGGAAGAAUGAUGUGGGAACUUCCUCUACUGCUGCUGGUAUAGCUAGUGGUGCUCAAUUCAAGGGCCAGGAAAAACACCAAGAUACUCCUGAAGAUGAUGGAUCGGAUGAGUGA